rnacentral:rRNA from 1 species
UACGUAGGGUCCGAGCGUUGUCCGGAAUUUACUGGGCGUAAAGAGCUCGUAGGUGGUUUUUGUCGCGUUGUUUCGUGAAAACUCACAGCUCAACUGUGGGCGUGCGGGCGAUACGGGCAGACUAGAGUACUGCAGGGGAGACUGGAAUUCCUGGUGUAGCGGUGGAAUGCGCAGAUAUCAGGAGGAACACCGAUGGCGAAGGCAGAUCUCUGGGGCCGU